rnacentral:rRNA from 1 species
AUUGAACGCUGGCGGCAGGCCUAACACAUGCAAGUCGAGCGGAUGAAGGGAGCUUGCUCCUGGAUUCAGCGGCGGACGGGUGAGUAAUGCCUAGGAAUCUGCCUGGUAGUGGGGGAUAACGUCCGGAAACGGGCGCUAAUACCGCAUACGUCCGGAGGGAGAAAGUGGGGGAUCUUCGGACCUCACGCUCUCAGAUGAGCCUAGGUCGGAUUAGCUAGUUGGUGGGGUAAAGGCCUACCAAGGCGACGAUCCGUAACUGGUCUGAGAGGAUGAUCAGUCACACUGGAACUGAGACACGGUCCAGACUCCUACGGGAGGCAGCAGUGGGGAAUAUUGGACAAAGGGCGAAAGCCUUAUCCAGCCAUGCCGCGUGUGUGAAGAAGGUCUUCGGAUUGUAAAGCACUUUAAGUUGGGAGGAAGGGCAGUAAGUUAAUACCUUGCUGUUUUGACGUUACCAACAGAAUAAGCACCGGCUAACUUCGUG